UUUUUACUUUUCAGUUUCCCAAAUCAAAUCAAAUUAAGUGUAAAGCAUAACCUCACCACCCAAAUCAAAUUUCGCUUAACCCUUGAAUGCCUGAAACCAUAUUUUCGCGAAGCAGAACCUCACCACCUUACCACCGCACAACCCUUCUUCUCACCAUCGUUUAACCCUCACUCGUUUAACCCUAACUCGUUCACGAGCUCGUUCACCAUCAUGGCUCACACAAACCCUCACUCGUUUAACCCGCCUGUCAGUACUCUAUCUACCCAGAACUCCUAACAUCUUCAAAUCGAUUGAAACACCUGAUAAUCUCUUUUUCAAAUUCUCAAUCUCAGAUUUAUUAUUAUAAUAGUUUAUUUUGUUUUUUAUUUUGAUUUUGUGUUUGGAAGUGUAGUGGUAAGGUUGUGUAUUAGACCACAAAGAAGAGAGCUAGUGGAAAAAGAUACACAUUAAUACGAGGGACUUGUGGUUUCAAGAAUUUAAAGGUAUGUUAUGCUUGUUCUGCUUGUAGUCAUUCUGCUUGAUCUAUUUCAGUUUGACAGGCUACUUAGUACGCACUGUGUGUCACUUAGGUACGUAGGAAAUUUGAUUUAGGUUUGUUAACUUUAUAUAACCAUUUUCCGGUUGUAGAGAAUUUAAAAAAUUUGCUUUUGCAAAGCAAGAGUCCAUGUAAACAAAUUUAACAUAAACAUUUGAUUUUUUUUUUUAUUUUGUUUUUGUGAUGGAUUUAAUGGUCCUGAUGCAACUGAUUAUCUUGUUAAUAAUAUUUUUUAUGUUGUACAUGAUGAGCUUAAAGGGUUUCUAUGUAAUCGAAAUCAAAAUAGUAGUAAUAAAGUGAAGAGGGUUUUUGUCACAUAGAUGUUUUUUUUUAAUGGAUCACAUAGACGUGUUAGAAGCUCUUUCUGAGGCAAUGAGGAAAACUGAGGAUGCAUGUUUUAAUAUAAUUAAUGAGAUGAUUAAUCAUAAUCCUGUUUUGGCUAUGAUGGGUUCUUGUGUUUUGGUUAUGUUGAUGAAAGGUUAAGAUGAUCCUUCUGCGGUAACUAAAGGCCGAGUGAAAGGUUACUUGAAUAUCACAAGGGCUUUUAAUUUGGAGCAGAAUUCCUUAAGCAAGUAACUUGAUAGCCUAUAUACUGAAUUUGCUUACACUCCUGCUAAAAAAAUUUGCUAUACUAGUUUCAAGUUUCAUUUUCAUUGUCAUUGUUAUAUUGAAUUACAUUAUUGUGUAAGUUCUUUUAAGAAUCAAUGCUAUAAGGGAAGUGUUAUUGUUUAGCUACUUCUUGGAUUUAGCAGGCGGCUUUGGUUCUUUUCUUUCAUGUUUUCAUUAUUAUGUGUUGUGUGGGUUAUAAUUUUUUAGUGUUAUAUUAUUUAUGUGUUUAGGUUUGUAAUGUCGGGUGGAUGUUUUUUUGUUCUGUUUAAGGUGUGGUAUAUUUGUCAUGGUGUUUUCUAGGUACACUUCUAUGUUCUUUUGCAGCCUGUGCUUUGGUAGCGGGCUUCUAUGUACUUCUUCCCCAUUUUUGGCACUUCUUGUGCUAAUGUUUGAGCUAUUAAUAUAUUUGCAGUUUCAAAACAAAAACAUUGAUCUGUUCUUGAGUUUCAGUUGGUUUGGAUUGGAUUAUAUCCUAUUUGGAUUAAUUAACAGGUUAUCUUUGGUUUUUGAUUUCAGGAUACAAAAUGAUAGGAUUCUUUCUUACCUGGGUGCUUGUGUAUGUUUUGCACUGUCAUAACAUUUUGCAUCUAGAUAAUGUUGAUUAUUUACAUUUGUAUUAUUUGAAAUUUCAGGAUACAAAAUGAUAGGAUUCUUUCUUACCUGGAAAACAAAUUAUGAUAUUAUUUCUUCAAACUUAUUAAUAUACAUUGGAUUUUCUUCUUCUAACUGUGUUCACACCAAGUAGGGAACCAAUGUUGUGAUGCAAUGAGAAUUAAGUCUGAGUACUUGGAUAUCAGUGGUAAGGAAUUAUGGAAAUUAAGGAGCUAUAAUGAUGAAUAUGUUUUCUUGUUACAAGGUAAUUCCUAAAAUGAAUUAGCUAUAAUGAUGAAUAUGUUUUCUUGUUACAAGGUAAUUCCCAAAAUGAAUUAGCUUAAUUAACUUUUGUGAAUGAUACUAUUGAGAUUCAGGCUCUAACAUGUUUACUAAUAUGUAUCAUUCAGAUGUGAAGAUCCAUGAUGAAGGUGUUGUUGAACUUGAAGUUGAUGAAAAAUGUUUGUUUAUGGAGUUUAGCAGGAAGCUGAGGUUAAUAAGUACAUUGUUCAGUAUAAUUGUUUUAGAGAUUGGUUACAAAUUACAUGCCAGCUUGCUAGGGAUAUUUAAGGCUUGUAAAAUGUAAUGAAGGAUCCCAAUUACCUUAGGUUUGAAUGUAGUUAGUUACUUUAACAUCCUAGAUGAUGUAUGUAUGUCUCUUGCAUGAUGAUAUAUUUUGGUUAAAAUAUAACUUUAGCCAUUGAUCUUUUCAAAGGUACACAAAUAUUUCAAAUUGUAAUGAUGCAGAUUGACCAAAUAUUGGAGCUGCAGGUUGUGUCUCAUGCACAUUGCUUGUCCACGUGCUGCGUCUUUUUUUUUUUGUUCGUGCCUUGGUCGUACCUCAAAAAUGCCGUGUCGGGAUCGGCUUGGGUUGGAAACGCUUUUUGCUUCUGGUGCUUGAGUAUAGCUAGUGGCAUUGGCGAGAGGUCCUAAGGCACCACCAUUUAAAAAGCAUCGCUGGAAAUUUUUGUUUUGUGGAACCUGUUGGUGUGAUGCGGUAUCGAGGUUGUCGCAUGCAGAUUGCUUAUCUCAGCUUAUGUAUAGGUUUGACUCUUCCAGAUCAACUGUGUGAUCAGUUAAGGAGUUUGGUUGGAUGCUUUUUGAUCCUUUUCUUCAUUUGUAUAUAGUUUGCUUGUUUAAGAUUGAUUGGUUGCCUUGGAUUGUCUCUUUUCCAUUUGAUUGUUAAUCAGCAUAUCAGAAUGUAUUGCUUGGGUAGUUGGGUUUAUUGGCAGGGUAGUUGGAAUUUUGUUAAGGAGAUGAAUUGCUUCUUUAUUUUUGGAUUGAUUAUGUAUUUUUGGAUAAAUAGUUGGUAAUACUUAAAUAUAAAUAUAUUAUGUUCA